UCGUUUGCCACUCGAUGUUUAUGUCUUUGUAGUGUGACGUACGUUUGAAUGUAGUCUUUUUAUUUUUAUUUUUAUUUUAUUAUUAUUUUUUUUUUGUGUGUGUGUAUUCGAAGCAAUUUUAAUAAAUCAGAGGAAAUAUCUUUAAUGGAGGAAUAUAAGAAAAAUAAAUUUCUCAAAUCAAACGAAUGAUUUAUGAAGUAGUGUCCGGAUUCGUGAAAAUAUUAAGCAGUGACCUUUAAUACUAUUAUUUUUGUACACCUUUGUAUUGUUUGUAGGUAAAUACAAGACCAGGCUCGUGUUACAAAACACUGGCUAUCUUGUAGAUGAAUACAAUUAUAUGAAACACAAUCCUAGUGUCUUCCACUGUAUUUAGUGUACUGAACUAGAUUUGGCAUUUGUGUAGUGAAAAUCACCUUUAUGAUCUUAAAAAAUGAUUUAAUUGGCUCUCGGUUGCUGAAAUGGUAUUUAUUUUUGAUCACUUCACAGAAAUGGAUAUAAUACACAGUAAUUACCCACUAAAAUACAGCAAAAUCAAUCUAAAAUUGUUCUUACUGUAUUAUAUCCAGUAAUAAGCGAUUAAAUAAUAAUCCCCCUGCAGGUUAUUAUUUUAUUUUUUUGUGGAAGUUUAUGCCAGUUUUAAAACAACUUUAUUCCUGUAUGUAGUGAGAAACUGAUUAAAAAAAAAUGGCCAAACUAAAGAUUGAAUAAAGAAGUUCAAAUAUUGUAGAAACUAAAUUGGAAAUAAUUCCUUUUGGAAAUAUUUCGGAAAGUUUGAUACGCGAGAUUUUUGCUUUAACCGAUGUCGACAUUCUCUGUACGUGAGUUUUUUAAUAGAAAAUUAUAAAAUUAGAAUUCACUAGUAUGUUUAGAAACAGCUUUCUUGUGCCGAAAUUAAAUUCCAGAUAAUUUUUAUAUAAAGGUGAUACAACUAUUUAAUGAUUUAUUAUUGUAUUUGCAUGAAAUUUUAAAAAUUUAUAUAGAAUCAUUAUUACAAUUUUUCUCAAUGCUGGUGUGUUCAUAAAAAAUGUUUUUCGGCUUUUUUCGUCCAUGUUGUCCUUUCCGGAGCUUCUUCCUUUCUCGUUCCCUUCUCAUUUAUCAUAUGUGUUAUUCCAUCUUUCCAUUUUCUCUUUGGUCUUCCUGUUCUGUUUCCAUUCAGAAAGCAUUUUUGAUAUCUCCAUUCACUCUUGCAAGGUAUCUAAAUCAUUAAGAUUUUUCAUUUAUAUUAUCUAAUAAUGACCUGCUUAUGUUUCUUCUCUGAAUUCACAAUUUGAUUUCCACUUUAAUCUUGAAAUCUUGGCCGAUCUCUUCUGAAGGCACAGAGUUCUCCAUUUUCCACUGCCCAUACAAAAGUAUUCCUUGAAAGAUGGUUUUAAGUAUGUAUUUUUUAUUUUCUUGAGAUGAUGCUACACUGCAGAACUGAAUUCCACUUGCCAAUAGCUUUCAAUGUUUUUGUAAUUCCAUUUCUUCUUGUUUAGUUAAACCAUUUAAUUCAACUAUUAAACAAAGGUAGUGACACGACAUUUUUUGUUAUAAACCAUCAACCACUAGGUCUGACCAGGUUUUAAGUGCUCAUAUAUUCUGUUUUCCUGUAAUUGAUCUUUGAUCUAUUCAAAAAUAAUUUAAACUGCAGACUAAUGUAUACCUAGCAAUUUUGAAUUCUAUGGAAUGUUGGGAUUCUACAAGCAUGUUUAUUUUAUGAUAAAAUAUUUAAAACAAAUUGAUGUGGCAAUAAGAUUUUAUAUUAAAAAAUGAAAAAUUAAUGAUGAUAAAGGUUUUACAAGUGAUUUUUUUAUUGUGGUAUUCUAUCAAAACUAAAUUUAGCAAGAAAUCCUACUUCAAAAAUCAAUUUCCUAUCUGUGAAAUCAAAUUUCUAAGCAAGAUUUGUUUUGUCUAAACAAGAAGAAAGAUUGGUUUGGCAUAGAUUGUGUAGGCUAUGUUUUAUUCAAUGUAAUUCAAAUUAUGCCGUCUUUUAUGAGAACAAUUAUUUAUAUUUAAGAGAUUUUUCUGCAAAAUAGUAGUCUUGAAAUGUAUCGUUUCUAUAAUUUAAUACAUAACACACCAUUUUAUUUUACUUUAAUGUAUACUAAAUAUAGAAACAUUAGGCUUGCCAUACGUGAGGCCAGAUAGUCCAGGAUAUUGCCACCAAUUCCAAAUUUAACAUCAAUUGAGUAGUUAGAAGUGUGAUUGUAUUCAUUAAGUAUUUGAUCAAUGCCCUUUAUCACAUCAUAGAGUGUGUGCACUUAAGUUUAUUUAGCAAAAAUAAAAUGUGUACCAUAACCAUAUCCAUACAAGCAGAGUAGUCAGAUCAUGCAAAAAAUCAUGCACUAUAAUUUUUGGGAUGCUGUUGUUAGCAUUUAUUAAUUAACACUUCAAACAGCAUGCCUAUAGCAAAUAGCUACAGAACGUAGAUAAUGUCUUGUUUAAAACAUUGUACUGUACAUAGGUGGUGCAGAAGUGCACUUUGGUACUCCCUAUUCAUAGUAUACAUCACCACCUACAAGUCAAUUGGCCUCCCUAUUUCUAACCAUUCUGAGCUUUGAAUUAGAUGGUAUCAUAUCUGCAGUGUACUUGCCACUAUGUGCCUUGUGAUAUUGUAACAUUAAGCUUAUAUUAGUUUGAAAAUAUACCAAACAGCUUUCAGGAUGCCUAUAUUUUUGUGACAGCUUUAGAACAAUCUGUAAGGGAAUUGAUAGAAGAAAGAGAAGAGACUGAUUAUGAUACUGAAACUGAGUCAGAAGAGUGGAGAUUAUAUUAGAUAAUUGUGAUAGUGACUCCAAACAAUUGGCUGAUGAGAUAGGUGAAGAACAAAAU